GAUUAACGCUGGCGGCGUGCCUAACACAUGCAAGUCGAACGCGCAUUUAUGCGAGUGGCGGACGGCUGAGUAACACGUUGGUACCUGCCCUAGACUCGGGGAUAAGCCUUGGAAACGAGGUCUAAUACCCGAUAUCCUCUUUGGAGGAAAGCUUUUGCGGUCUAGGAGGGGCCGUGCGCAUGAUUAGCUAGUUGGUGAGGUAACGGCUCACCAAGGCAACGAUCAUUAGAUGGUCUGAGAGGAUGAUCAUCCAGA
rnacentral:rRNA from 1 species